rnacentral:tRNA from 1 species
AGGGAUGUGGCUCAGAGGUAGAGCACUUGCCUCACAUGUAUGAAGCCUUGGGUUCAAUACCCUGCACUGCAG